rnacentral:rRNA from 1 species
GAUGAACGCUGGCGGCGUGCCUAAUACAUGCAAGUCGAACGCUUCACUUCGUUGAAGAGUGGCGAACGGGUGAGUAAUACAUAAGUAACCUGGCAUCUACAGGGGGAUAACUGAUGGAAACGUCAGCUAAGACCGCAUAGGUGUAGAGAUCGCAUGAACUCUAUAUGAAAAGUGCUACGGGACUGGUAGAUGAUGGACUUAUGGCGCAUUAGCUGGUUGGUAGGGUAACGGCCUACCAAGGCGACGAUGCGUAGCCGACCUGAGAGGGUGACCGGCCACACUGGGACUGAGACACGGCCCAGACUCCUACGGGAGGCAGCAGUAGGGAAUUUUCGGCAAUGGGGGAAACCCUGACCGAGCAACGCCGCGUGAAGGAAGAAGUAAUUCGUUAUGUAAACUUCUGUCAUAGAGGAAGAACGGUGGAUAUAGGGAAUGAUAUCCAAGUGACGGUACUCUAUAAGAAA